rnacentral:rRNA from 1 species
GGAUGCGAUCAUACCAGCACUAAAGCAUCGGAUCCCAUCAGAACUUCAAAGUUAAGCGUGCUUGGGCGAGAGUAGUACUAGGAUGGGUGACCUCCUGGGAAGUCCUCGUGUUGCAUUCC